rnacentral:rRNA from 1 species
UACGGAGGGUGCAAGCGUUAUCCGGAUUCACUGGGUUUAAAGGGUGCGUAGGCGGGUAGGUAAGUCAGUGGUGAAAUCCCCGAGCUCAACUUGGGAACUGCCGUUGAUACUAUCUAUCUUGAAUGUUGUGGAGGUGAGCGGAAUAUGUCAUGUAGCGGUGAAAUGCUUAGAUAUGACAUAGAACACCAAUUGCGAAGGCAGCUCGCUACACAAUUAUUGACGCUGAGGCACGAAAGCGUGGGGAUCAAACAGG